UGGGUAGCCACUUUGACAGACAUUACUG
rnacentral:piRNA from 1 species